AUAAAAACACUGAACACACAGAACUAAAAACUAACUCCCCAUUCACAGAAAGCCAAACCUACAAAACAUCAGAACAAUAUUAGAAAUGCUAUGCAAAGAAAACCAAUUGCAAAGUGUCUAGUCACUGCUCUUUACUUGUAUUGUUUCAUGCUUGUAGUAAUACUGUGACAUUUUAAUUGCAUACCAUUCUAAAGGCAGUUUUCACUCUCAGAUCCCAGUCAUAACAGGAAGUAGAAUAAAAGCAGGAAGCAACAGGAGAACAUCAGAGCUUCACACAAGACACAACUCCUGCUGACUCUCACAUACACCCAUAAAACACUGCAAUAUCAACUGAGUCCUUCUUAUUACACUUUACAGUGUGAAUAUCAGAGGGCGAUUCAUUCAAAGAUUAAAAAGGUAACGCUACAAUAGCGACUGACAAGAGAACUUGACUUCAUGCUAAAGUAAAAGUUACUUACAGUAUCUGCUCGCGUUGUUGUGAUUGUCAUCAAGUGUCAUGUUGUCAAGCAGCAGAAGCGUCAGACUGAAGGAGAACCCGCUUCUGCCGCCUUGAGGAGCGGAGGAAAACUGCACUUUACUCUCGUCGGAUCACAUCUGAGACUUUGGAUUAAAGUUCCUGUGAAAUUACAGCAGCAACAUGUUUGACAAGCUCUGUGGUGCAGAAAAUAAUGAUUUCCUUUGAAUGAGAAA